UUUCUUCUAUUUUUUUCUCUCUACGUUGGUGUUUCAACCAAUAAUCACCGAAGCGAUAUUCUGUCCGAUCGAUUCAGGAACCAACUAACGCAUGCCAAAGUGUUGUACUUUGUGAAUUUCGGUAAAUGGAAUCCAAAGUGCUAUACUUUGUGAGUUCAAUAAAUGGAUGCCAAAGUACUGUCUGAAUAAGACUAUACUUUGUGAAAUUCGUUAAGGUUCGAAUCUCGUGAUCAUCAUUAGGUUUGAUAUGGUUUUACACAAAUACGUAUUCCGUUCUGUUAAACUAUAUGUUUAACCAUCCGAAUACUCCCAACUAUACGCUUACAAUCAAAAUGGAUGCUUGAUCAUCAGAAGAUCCAAAAUAAUAAAGUAUAUGCUUAAUUAUCAGAAGGAGUAGAAUCAAGAAGCUUGUUAGUUCAAUAUUGCAUGCUUAUAAUGGAUUAAGUUUUUGUAGUCUUUAAUUACAUCCGGUAUGUGGGGUAUUGUGCACAUUACUGUUGUUUUAUCACUUUAGGUGGGCGAGUCUAAAAUUUGUGAUAUUCGUCAUUAUUGGGUGACAGGACCCAAUAGUGGUAUGACCACAGUCACAGAAACGAGUCGAGUGACAAAUACUGUGGGUAGUUGGUUGACAUAUAAACAUUGUAAUCUCCCUUAAUAUUGUAAAUUAUAACAACGUGUCAUUUUAUUUAAAAUGAAUGAUUCACUCAGUAUUUCCCGCUGACAAAACCUUUUUAAAACGCGUUUCAAGUGAUUACAGUAGAUUGGAAUAAGAAUUGGAUACGGCACCAACAAGGUUUACAGAAGUGGCUUGAUUUAUCAAAUUAAAAAAAAUUAAGAAAAGUUGUUUUAUGUAAUCAAGUUUAUAUUAAAAGCUACCUUUGUAAAACAUGGAAUUUAUUCCAUCUAUUUAAAUAAAAUCCGGUGUUUCUAAACUCUGAUAUUUUUCCUAACUCACGGUCCUGAUGAAAUUCCGCUGCAAUGUUUUUCAAAAAUAAUCAUCGGUACCACUUGGCUGUUCGCGACCUCCGAUUCCGUCCAGGGUGGGUCAGGGGUCGUGACACUAAGUGCGGACUACAUGAGAUUCACUAAGUGCGGACGAUAUUAGAUUCACUAAGUGCGGACACUAUGAGAUUCACUAAGUGGGGACACUAUGUUUAAACACAAGUGCGGACCAUUAUGUUAAUCACAAAUGUGGACCUCAUGUUCAUUCAAUAAAUGCGGAUCAUGUUUGUUUCAAUAUGGACAGACCAUAUAAUUUUUAACAAAUGCGGACAUUAUAGUUAAGUGCAGACAACUUAUAACUCAAUAAACUUUACAAUCAACAAAUACGGAGCAUUAAAUGCAGACAAGUCAUCAUGCCAAAUCCACAAUGCAAUGUAACAGUUCUUCGUCUAAACUCUAAUCUCCUAAAUCAAUAGUUCUACGAAUCAAAACAAGUUUUAGUAUUCUUAGCAUGUCAACAAUAGUUCCAUUGUCUAGCAGAAAUCAUGCAUUUAUUCAUUCUAUAACAAUCAAUCACAUAUUCAUUAGGGCAUGAAAACCAAUCACAGGUUGUUUGGACGUCUAGGGUUUAUAUGAAUCCAAGAACAACAUAACAAGUGUGAUGUAAACCUUACCUUAGAUUGAUUUAGAGUUGGUUCUUGAAGAAUUGAGGGACCAAAGAUCAAUGAUUUUUGUGAGGACUUGGAGUAGCCAAAAGAUGAGAGAAAUGAUUUGAGAAAAUAAACUGUCGUAUAGUGAAGUUGUGGGGAGUUUAGGGUUUUGAGUGGUUUAUAAGAGUUUCUAACUGACGUGGUGCGGUGUAGGUAUAUUUUUGAGAUAUAUAUUAGUUCUUUUUAUUCGCAAAUUCAAGUGUAAAAUUUAUAAAACACGAUAUAAUACUAUCACUCUACACACACGUUAGGGCAAGUGCACCCGACGUAGUAUAGUGUUGGAAAGAUACCGACAUCGUCCAAGGACACAUGUGCUUUUAGUACCAGCUUAUCGUUAACGUCUAAUCUAACCAAAUUUGAUGAAAAGGUUUUAAAGCUAUAAAAAGAUAAACUA
rnacentral:lncRNA from 1 species